AUUCAAUGGAAAUUGUGUAAUUCAGGAGAAAAGAGCCGAAGAAGGACCAAAUUGCAACAAUUUGAUAGUUCGAGGACCAAAGGUGCAAAUAUUGAAAAGUUGAGCUAAAUGCAAAACGAGAGGGAAGACAUGCCAAGUAUGAGCUCAAUGACAAAGCAAAACAACUGGAAGAAGAAAAUAUUGAAGAGGGACUGAAAUGAAGACAAUUGAAAGUUGGAGGACUAAAGCGCAAAUACUCAAAAGAUAUGCCGAAUGAGGGGCAUGAGAAUUGAUGGUAUCAAUCAUCAAUUGGAAGAUAAAAUUUGUUGAAAAGAUGAAGAAAUCGAAGAAAGAAGUCAAGAGAAGCAACAAAGAAGUUCAGGGACCAAAUUGAACAAACCACAUAGAUGGUUACUUCUAUGCGACCGCAUAGUGUAACCUUCUAUGCGGUCGCAUAGAAGGCUUCAGGGACUCAAUGAGCCCAAACAAUUUGAACUAUGUGACCGCAUAGAUUCCUUCUAUGCGGUCGCAUAGAAGGAUUUUUGAAUCUCGGGCGCAGUUUUUCGUUUUGGUUGAAACUCCUUUCCUACUUAAUUUGGACGCGAUAUAAAUACCAAAAUUCAUCAUAUGAAGAA
rnacentral:lncRNA from 1 species